CAGGUACCAUACUUUCCUUUGCACAUGACCAUGAGCAAACAAAUCCGACUGCUGAAAAAAGCCAUCCACGCUGCUAGGAAUUGACCAAGAGUAUCCGCACCAAUUCAUAACUUUAGACCACACCAGCCAUACGUCUCUGCUGCAAAAGAAGAUGAUCGGCUGUUUCACAUGAGAAUUGCAAGAGGACACAUGCUAGCAGCUUGGCCUACAAUUCUAAUUUGCUGCAAAAAAUUGUUUGUCUGCACUUUCCCCAUGGCAGCAAGCCAAACAAAGGCUUCUACUUUUGGUGGUGCAAUAGAUUUCCAGACAAAGGAUUGUAUUGGAGAAAUCUCUCCAAGAGUUACACGGUCUAUCAAGAAGCUACAAGAUCUAACAGCGUAAUCACCUUUGACAUCAUGAAUGCAAAUACAUUUAUUUCUUAGAUUGUAAAAUAAAUGAACAGCAGAUGUGUCAAGUAACAAAUUACCCUCCAGUUGUUUCUUCCAAACCCAAAGAGCCCUACUCCAUUUAAACUUCCAUUCCGAAAGAGAACCCUUCUACUCACCCAACUCAGCUAUCUUACAGUCUGUC
rnacentral:lncRNA from 1 species